rnacentral:rRNA from 1 species
AGGUUACUGCUAUCGGUGUUCGCCUAAGCCAUGCGAGUCAUAUGUAGCAAUACAUGGCGUACUGCUCAGUAACACGUGGAUAACCUGCCCUUGGGUCCGGCAUAACCCCGGGAAACUGGGGAUAAUUCCGGAUAACGCACAUAUGCUGGAAUGCUUUAUGCGUGAAAUGGAUUCGUCUGCCCAAGGAUGGGUCUGCGGCCUAUCAGGUAGUAGUGGGUGUAAUGUACCUACUAGCCUACGACGGGUACGGGUUGUGAGAGCAAGAGCCCGGAGAUGGAUUCUGAGACAUGAAUCCAGGCCCUACGGGGCGCAGCAGGCGCGAAAACUUUACAAUGCGGGAAACCGUGAUAAGGGGACACCGAGUGCCAGCAUCCUAUGCUGGCUGUCCAGGUGUGUAAACUACACCUGUUAGCAAGGGCCGGGCAAGACCGGUGCCAGCCGCCGCGGUAAUACCAGCUCCUCGAGUGGUCGGGGCGAUUAUUGGGCCUAAAGCAUCCGUAGCCUGUUCUGUAGGUCUUCUGUUAAAUCCAACGGCUUAACCGUUGGCAGGCAGAGGAUACCGCAGGACUAGGAGGCGGGAGAGGUGGGCGGUACUCCACGUGUAGGGGUAGAAUCCUUUGAUCCGUGGAAGACCACCAGUGGCGAAGGCGGCCCACCAGAACGCGCUCGACGGUGAGGGAUGAAAGCUGGGGGAGCGAACCGGAUUAUAUACCCGGGUAGUCCCAGCCGUAAACGAUGCGAGCUAGAUGAUCCAGUCGCAAAUCGCGACUGGAGUGUCGCAGGAAGCCGUUAAGCUCGCCGCUUGGGGAGUACGGUCGCAAGACUGAAACUUAA